rnacentral:lncRNA from 1 species
CUUUCUUUAGGCAAGGUUAAAUUCUUUACUAUACAUCUCAAGAAAACAACACAAAAUUUAUAAAUUAUCUGGAAUGUGGAUUAUGGUCUCUCUGUGUCCUUUCAAGCCAGAUAUGUUUGGAACUGAAGCGUUCAUUUUAAAACCAUCAGGCAAUGAAGAUAAUGAUGAAAGUCAGCACAUUAAGAACGGCAGAGCAGAAGAUGGGAAAAGCCUGUGUCUUUAAUUGCAUUGUUAAGCAACUGAACCAACUCUCUACCUAUAAACUUCUUGGAUUCAUUAAAAGAAUAUAUUCCAAAACUGAAGAGAAAAAGCAUGAGGAUAGAAAGUGGGCCAAAGCUGAAUAAAAAAUGCCACCUUACUUUUUUUUAAAGUUUAUCAGUAAUAUUAUAAUAGUAUCACACUUUUCUGUAUUUUUGCUUUUAAAAUAUAUCACUAUCUUUUCAAGCAGCAGUAAAAUUUUGCCACAUGUGUUUGUACAGAAAUAGUUUCUGAAUCUAAAUGCUAUUUAAAAUAGUACACAAUGAUACUUUUGAACUACAGAAUGUCUCAAAAAAUUAAGAACAGAUGUUGCUUAAAAUUUUCAAAAACAAAGAGAAAAUUGAAUUCAUCCCCAAACUGAGGAAAAGAUUCAUAAACAAUUUUUUCUAGUAUAAAUAAUUUGAAAUCAUAAUUUCAGUAGAAAAGUAUAAACUUUAAGUAUCUUUUAUGUUGCAGAUACCAAAUUGCUUUUAUAUAUAGAUAAGUUUGUAUAAAUGUAUAUAUAUCUGCGUGUGUGUAUGUAUAUUUGAACAUAUACACAUACAAAUAUGUGUGUGUGUAUAAUCAGCAGAUAUUUAGAGACAUGCCUGGGUCACGUUAUUUAUUCUUAAUAACCAGUGUUACAUGAUUUAUUUUGAAAGAAGGCUUGAUAGUGAAAAAAAUUUUGUGAAUAUUUAUUCUAGAUUUUCUUUUAAAGAAGUCCAUUCUGAGCAAUAUGGUAUUUCUGAUUUUUUAAGAGAACAAUCCUCCAGCACCUUUUGAAGGUGCUACAUUGUCAUUCCAUAUCAUAUUUUCAACCCAUCUGCUCUUUGCCUUUUGGAUUCUAAGCAAGUAUGCAUAGUCAACUGCAAUACCCUACAGCAUUCUGCAGUUUCUUAUCAGUUAAUCAGUUUAUGUUUAUAAACAUAUAACAGACCUCAUGUCACAUCACCAAAUGUAUUUGAAACAACUAAGCCAAAAUGAAAUAUGGCUAAAUGACUGCUCAAUUAAAAGGAC